AUCCUGGCUCAGAUUGAACGCUGGCGGCAGGCCUAACACAUGCAAGUCGAGCGGUAGCACAGAGAGCUUGCUCUCGGGUGACGAGCGGCGGACGGGUGAGUAAUGUCUGGGAAACUGCCUGAUGGAGGGGGAUAACUACUGGAAACGGUAGCUAAUACCGCAUAACGUCGCAAGACCAAAGAGGGGGACCUUCGGGCCUCUUGCCAUCAGAUGUGCCCAGAUGGGAUUAGCUAGUAGGUGGGGUAACGGCUCACCUAGGCGACGAUCCCUAGCUGGUCUGAGAGGAUGACCAGCCACACUGGAACUGAGACACGGUCCAGACUCCUACGGGAGGCAGCAGUGGGGAAUAUUGCACAAUGGGCGCAAGCCUGAUGCAGCCAUGCCGCGUGUAUGAAGAAGGCCUUCGGGUUGUAAAGUACUUUCAGCGAGGAGGAAGGCAUUGUGGUUAAUAACCACAGUGAUUGACGUUACUCGCAGAAGAAGCACCGGCUAACUCCGUGCCAGCAGCCGCGGU
rnacentral:rRNA from 1 species